rnacentral:rRNA from 1 species
GACGAACGCUGGCGGCGUGCCUAAUACAUGCAAGUUGAGCGAUGAAGUUUGGUGCUUGCACCAAUUUGAAGAGCAGCGAACGGGUGAGUAACGCGUGGGGAAUCUGCCUUUGAGCGGGGGACAACAUUUGGAAACGAAUGCUAAUACCGCAUAACAACUUUAAACAUAAGUUUUAAGUUUGAAAGAUGCAAUUGCAUCACUCAAAGAUGAUCCCGCGUUGUAUUAGCUAGUUGGUGAGGUAAAGGCUCACCAAGGCGAUGAUACAUAGCCGACCUGAGAGGGUGAUCGGCCACAAUGGGACUGAGACGCGGCCCAAACUCCUACGGGAGGCAGCAGUAGGGAAUCUUCGGCAAUGGACGAAAGUCUGACCGAGCAACGCCGCGUGAGUGAAGAAGGUUUUCGGAUCGUAAAACUCUGUUGGUAGAGAAGAACGUUGGUGAGAGUGGAAAGCUCAUCAAGUGACGGUAACUACCCAGAAAGGGACGGCUAACUACGUG